rnacentral:ncRNA from 1 species
CUUCAUAUUGAUAUGAAGAAUGGACUAUAUCUUAGAUACUUAUAUAAGUACCAAUAUCCUUAUAGUCUCUGAGCUUACUCAAUAAAGAGUUUAGUUGCGAAUUAUCUUAUAUAUUAGAUUGUAACAUUUAGUACUAAUAUAUUUAAAGAUGUUCCCGCAAUUUGAAUAUUUUGCGAUUUAAUUAAUCACUAGCAUAAAAUUAUGCUUUUUUCGGCAACUAGUUUACCGUAUUGU